AUACGUAGGGGGCGAGCGUUGUCCGGAAUGAUUGGGCGUAAAGGGCGCGUAGGCGGCCCGGUAAGUCUGGAGUGAAAGUCCUGUUUUUAAGAUGGGAAUUGCUUUGGAUACUGUCGGGCUUGAGUGCAGGAGAGGUAAGUGGAAUUCCCAGUGUAGCGGUGAAAUGCGUAGAGAUUGGGAGGAACACCAGUGGCGAAGGCGACUUACUGGACUGUAACUGACGCUGAGGCGCGAAAGUGUGGGGAGCAAACAGGAUUAGAUACCCUGGUAGUCCACACUGUAAACGAUGAAUGCUAGGUGUAGGGGGUAUCGACCCCUUCUGUGCCGCAGUCAACACAAUAUGCAUUCCGCCUGGGGAGUACGGCCGCAAGGUUGAAACUCAAAGGAAUUGACGGGG
rnacentral:rRNA from 1 species